GUGAGGCAGUGUAUAUAUGUUGGUUUAGUUACUGUAGAUUCUAAUCGAGAGACAUGAGAUCUCCCAAACAUAUGAGAACAAAUCCUAACAUCUUCUCUUCCGCCGAACUUCCUUUUGAUGUGAUUUCAGAAAUACUAGGUAGGUUAUCGGUGAAGUCCCUUCUCCAAUUCCGAUGCGUCUCCAAAUCAUGGAAGUCACUCAUCUCUGAUCCACAAUUUGCUAAAAAGCACCUUAACUUGUCCACCACGCGCCGCCUCCUCCGUGUAAGCUACGACAGUCCCUCGCACAGGUUUAUUUUAAAUUCUUACUCCCUCCAAUCCGUUUUCACAGAUACAAACUAUAACCUCACUCGAUUCCAGUUUCCCCUCGAUGUUAUUUCUGAACGCUACUCCCAUCACCUUGUUGGCUCUUGUGACGGAAUUCUCUGUGUUGCCAAUUAUCGCAUUUCCCCGGAUUAUAAACGUUUCGUUGUACUGUGGAAUCCUUCUAUUAGAAAAUAUAAGGAAUUGCCCCAUUUUGAAAACCCAGCUGAGCUCUAUCGCCUUCGGCUUCGUAUGACAUAUGGCUUCGGCUAUGAUCAUGUUUCUCAUGAUUACAAACUGCUUGUUCUUUACAGCUGCCUCACUGAACACACAACCAGAGCAAAGGUUUAUACUUUGAAGACUGAUUCUUGGAGAACCAUUCAACCGUUCCCUUCAGAUUUUGGUACUCUCCCUGAUUAUCCACAGGGAAGAUAUGGAAAAUAUGUAAGCAGUACAGUUAAUUGGAUGACCUGUCAACGCUGGAUUGUUUCUUUUGAUUUAGUCAACGAGUCUUAUAGAAAGAUUUUGCCUCCUCGACAACAAAGAGAACCUAUAUAUUUGGGUUUGAGUGUGUUGAGGGAUUGGUUAUGCAUAAUUUCGGAUCAUGAUGUUUGGGUCAUGAAGGAAUAUGGAAUUCGAGACUCUUGGACUAAAUUGUUCAAUGUUACUCACUUGCUAGAUCCUCCAUCUAAUUCUUUUCGCUUGACAAAUGUAAUCUUUCAAGACGAUCAAGUGCUGCUCGUGUUUAAACAUUUUUUGGGUAGUAUGUCGUUGAUUGUUUACAAUUUCAAGAAUGAUACUUCUAAAGUUAGUUCAAUGUUGAAAGACAUCUCAGAAGAUUGUGUUGAGAGUUUGAUAUCACCUUGGUCUUAAUGCUAGAAUUAUUUUUGAAGUAGAUCAAGAUCAAAUGCUGCAAUGCUGCUGUUGCUGUUUCAGGAGACUUCAAGAAAGAAAUUUAGUGUUGAAAGUUUGUUACUUUAUUUUUAUUAUUCUUUAUUUUUAACUGAAAUUAGUGAUUUUUUUUCAUAUAUGUAUUUUAGUUUCUUUGUUAUGGUAACUUAAUACUAAUUCUUAACUUUUUAUUGUGAUAUUUUGUUUUGAAUUGAACAAUUGAAUUUUCUAGCAAUACAUUUUAUAUAGAAUCUCUUGUAUUUUUAUUGACGUACCGUGCUUUGAUUUUUCUAAUUCUUUACAACUACUGCUAUUGCAAUUUCUGCUGUUUCAUUCUUAACAUCAUAUUUACUUGACAGCAACACCAAUAAACUCUGAUAAAUUGAGGCAGGAUGAGGCGCUAUAGUGUUAUGCAAAUGAAUUAAAAUACAGGAAGUUUUGGGAAGACACAAUCGCUAACCGUUGCAUCAGAUUCAAUUGAAGUUGUUCAUACUGGUGCGGCUUUGCAUUGGUGGCCAUCUCCCUCCAAUACUGUAAGUUACACAUCUUUUUUGAUGAAAUUUAGGGUAAACUUUUUAUCACCUACAUGUUGAUACUAGUCAUGUAUUGAGUAACCACUUGGUUGGAAAUUCAGUUGUUAUUUUCUGUUUUUGAAUCCUUUUUUCAAACUGCAUGUUAACCUAAGGGAGAGGUUAGUGGACCUUGGAGAUGAAUCCACUUAGUUUUUAACAUUUAAUAUGGUCACACUUUGUGAUCCUUAACCUUUACUCUCAAGUUUCUAACCCAAACUUACUUUCACUCAUAAAUUAGCUCCUUAUCUCAUAUCACAUGCAUGCUGGAACUUAUUUCAUGCUAACUUUCUUUGAAAUCUGUUAAAACAGAGCCCCAAGUUUAUUCACUGCACUUAAUUGAUUUAUUUAUCACAUAACUCUAUAUUUUCAAUGUCAAAAAUAAUAUGAUGCAUCAUUUUUAGAUUUUGUAUUUUGUAGUUCAUGCACCAUUUUCAGAUUUUGUAUUUUGUAGUUCAUGCACCAUUUUCUUUGCUUUAUAAAAAAAAGUCAUAUUUAGUCACCAAGACUCUUAAUUUAAUUUAAUGUUCCGUUUUAGUUUUUUAAUUAAAAAAUAUUACAAGUUAGUCCCUUAAUUUCACUUCGGUUAUUUUAUUUGUUACAUUCCGUUAAUUUCUGACAAAAAAAUAAUAUUAAGUUCUGGUGACGUGAAUGUACAACAAAACUCAAAGUCUAAAUAUGAUUAAAUAUUUUUACAAUAUUUAUAACCGUAACCCCUUCUCCCUUUCUAUAAUUAAUAUUUCCUAAGUUACAUCUAAUUUAGUGCCUAAUCAAUUGAGCCACCCAUGCCAUUAGAAGCUCGAGCAAAUUGAGUUCACAAUCUACCUAAUCUCCGAGAGCUUUAACAUAUUCUUUAUUUAGUUUAGAGCAACAUUCAUCAAUAACUUUACUUGUAGUACUGAAUGUGAAUUUAGAAGGAGCUUUAACAUAUUCUUUAUUUAGUUUAGAGCAACAUUCAUCAAUAACUUUAUUUGUAGUACUGAAUGUGAAUUUAGAAGCUAUAGUCAAAGAUUAGAAUAACUAGUAUAUCAACAACCAUCUUAAACAAUAUUUUAUAUUUCAUAAUGUUGUUCCAUUUUAUGGAUGUUAAUACUAGGGGUAUAAAAACGGGCUUGAUCCGUUGGACAUGUCCCUUUGCUCACACUUUAGUGUGAGGCGUACCAAGGUUUUAGGCCUGCAUCCUCAACUAUGACUGCCCGCCCCAUUUUCUUGCGGACUUUCAUGGGGCAGGCUCUUAAACGGGGAAGACAUGCUCGUUUGCCACCCCUAAUUAAUACCUUCAUCAAAAUAAUUUUACAAUUAUAAUUAUAUUGUAAUUAGAGGAAUGCCUUAUUCUUGAAUAAUGCUUAGAAUUUCAUCAAAUUCAAUUCUGACAGUUGCGACAGUUGCAACAUACUCAUCAUAUAAUUCUUUCAAUGAACACAUGUCCCACAUGUCCUUCUUUAUUUUUUCAAUAAAACUUCUUUAAAUUUACAUAUCUUGGGAAAACAUAUACGCUCCGAAUGAAAUUUGCACAUAGAAUUCAAAACACUAGUUACAACUAUCAACAUAUUACACUCCCCCAGUAUUUGCAAAACUAUAUUUUUAUUGGAUCCACCAUUUUUCUCAUGAAGAGAUCUUCAUCUUCACCGUCCUUAUCAAGUAUCUCUUUUACCUUUCAAAUUUCUGAUAGAUACAAAUUUACAGUCAGAUAUUCAUUACCUACAUCUACAUUUAAAAUGGUAGUUGUAGUAAACAAUAAUAAAAUAAUAAAGUAAAAAAAAUAAGAAAAAUAGUAAUUGUAGUAAACAAUAGUAAAAUAAUAAAGUGAAUAAAAAUAAAAAUAAAUAUUUGAUAAACUACAUGAGAUCACAUGAUUAAAUACUUAUAGAAGUUUACAAAUUUUUUCAACUUUAUUUCAUUAUGUAAGUGAAAGGGCAUAAUCAUAACGAGUCUCUUUUUUAUAGUCUACAAAUGAAAUCUAAAAGUUCAAAAUAGUUGGCAACAUAUUAAAGGUUGAAUUCUAUUUUGUUGGAGAAUCAACAAUGAGUUUCCUUUCUUUCAAACUUUUCUCCUCGACCACAUCACAAAAUGUCUUUAGUUUUGCAUUAUUGUGGUCAACAUAUUUGACACUUUUACAAAUAUUAAAAAGAUGUCCUUAAAUUUACUAAGAUCGUCAUGGACCAACAAAUUCAAUACAUAGACACAACAUCUUACAUGAUACAAAGAGCCAUCAAGGAUUAACUUAGAGAUAAAUUAUCUUUGAGGCAUCUUAAGCAUGAUUCAUUAUAAGAAGCAUUAUCAAUGGAUACUGAAAAUAAUUUAUUUUGAAUCUCAAAGUUUUCAAACAUUUAUAAAUAGAAUCAGCCACAUCAAUACCACGCCUUGGUGCACGCACUUCCACAAAAAUCAAAACUCUUUUUUAAAGAUUUCAUCAUGCAUCAAUGAAAUAUCCUAUGAUAACUAGGAGGGAAAAACGGGCAUGACUGGCCCAUUUAGGCCUGCUCCAUAAAAAAAGGGGCAGGAUGGAGUAGACAUCCUUAGGUGUGACAUGCAGAUGACACCUAGUCAUUAUGUAAUAUUUGCGAGCAAUUUCGAAAAAAUAGGUGGAAUAAUGAGAAAAAAUAAAGCAAAUAGGUGGAAAAAGAGAAAAAUCUUCAAAGGAGAAAAAAUGGGGACUUCGUAAAAAAUUGAAGAAAAAGUAAGAAAAGAGAAGAAUUUACCACUACUUUUCUCGCGACUGCGAUGCUCUCAUCGUGGGCGUGAUGAAGGAACAUCGUGAUCGCGAUGACACGCUUUUCUGACACAUUUAUUUUGCAACUUUAAAUAGAGAAAGUGGAAUUUUUUUAGGGUUCCGUAUUUAGAGAGAAAGUGACACCAAGAGCUUUUGUAAAUGAGUUUGGAGAGCAUUGGAGCCAUUGGAGAACUUAUUUCCAUUGAUUUUGAUGAAUACUUCCUAUCAAGUCAGGGUAAUUUUCACUGAGUAGCUAAGUUAUUUUAGAUUAGGUCUUUUGAGAAGAACCUAAUUGUACUUUGUUGGAUUAUAUGACUGUUUGAGAUUAUUUGAAUGCUUUUAUGUUAUUAUCAUUUUGUAAUUGUUCGUAUUCUUAAUGAUGUUUGUGUGUUGACGAAUGCAUAAAUUUAUUUUAAAUGUGUAUGGAUUAUUGACCAUAUGUCUACCGAUCUGAAUUAGGGCAAUUAUUUAACUUAGUAAUUAAAUGGAAAUAGGUAAUUAUAAGUUGUGGCGUUUGAAUUAACAAACAUAGAGACACCUAGUUUAACUUUGAAUUGGUCUAAGGAAUUAGGAAUUAUUCUCUAUAUUAGUGAGUUGUACACCGAGAAAUUGGGUACAAAAGUCUUGUUUAGGGGCGGCAGAGUGGGUGGCCCGCUCUGUUUAGGCCAUUCCUGUUUAAGCCUGUCCAAAGGUAGGGCGAGACGGGACAAACUAACUUAGACAUCUGAGCUCAAAAGUCUUGUCUGCCUUGUUUAUUAACGAGUUGACGAGUUGGUGAGCCAGUCCGCUAAUAUUUUCUUAUAGUUUGAUUUACUGUAUAAUUUAUUUUUUUAAAUUAUAAUCAAAGAGACCGUCCAAAAAUAUUUUUUAAUAACGCAUAAUAGAACACGCCGAAAAAAUAAUAUGCUAAUUCUUGAUUUCAUUCGUGUCUUAUUUGAGUUCUAUCAACAGGCGACCACAACAUCAAUGAAUAUAGUAACUUGAAAUAAGACAUCAUACACAGCUUGUUCAUACAAUGAUCAACUGCAUAAAGCAUGGUAUAAUGACUACUAAGUGGGUUGUAUGACCAUGCUUGUUGCAAGAUGAAUGUAGUGUGUGUUGUAAUAAUUGCAUGUGAUUGCCAAUUAAUUGUGAGCAUUUGUCACUUAAAGCAGUUGAUGUGUAAAUGUACUUACGAAUCUUGUACGAAAUGUUAAGUGCUUUAUAUGUUAACGAUAAUUAUUUUCAUUGGUUCGAGACUAGUUUGGGUUAAAAUCUCCGUUCUUCUUGGUCAACUUAUUCAAAACCUUGGUUCGAUUUGUGAGUUCAUGCUGGUUCAAAAGCUCUCCUUGGUUCAAGACAAGUCUUUGUAAAAUCUCGGUGUAUCUUGGGGAUUAACUGCUUUAAGUUGCUGUUUGGAAAUAAGACUAACAACUUCAAUCCUCUGUUUGGAAGGAAGACUAACAACUUCUCUCAAGUGUUUGCUGUUUGGUUGAAAGUUUGUCUAAAACUUCAAUUUUUCUAGUAUAAGGUAGUUUGAGAGUUCAACCUACUAAAAAUUCUAAAUAUUUACUAGAUACUAUCAAGGUCAAAUUGGGGAAAAAACUAAUUCUUGUUGAUUUAACUUGUAUAACUCUCUGGUAUAUUCUCUCUUCUCUUAACUUUUACUUUCCGCAAUUUAAAAUUAUGCUAGUAAAUUAUAAAACAUUUUAAAAAUGUUUUUUUUCUGAAAAUAUGUGAAAAUUUUCAAACUACCAUUUUUAUGAAACACUUAAUUCACCCCUCUUGUGUGUGGAGCCACAUGUCCAAUAGAGUGAAACUUUUGGAAUGACAUGAAGCAUCAUUGAUCACACGCGCGCGCGCACACACACACAAGGCUAAGUUAUAGCGACGAACAAUUUGUGCCAAUUUUUGGAUGCAUUCCUUUGAGAAAAAAUUUAGACUACAUGAAAUAUGCGCUAAAGUAAGAGACGAAGGAAGUAUGUUUUUCUGAUAUUAUAUGUUGGAUCACCUGAGUUUAUGUAAUGAUUCAAGUUUGGGGGGACGGGUGUGAUAUCUCACUAUUUGUGAGAGAUCCAGGCCCUUAUUACAUGACUUUAUUUUGUGAUUUGAAAGCUUUAUUAGGUUAAUCUCAGUAGAUUUUUUUUAAGAUCAUUUUGUAUAGAGCAUAAUAGUUGUUAUCUUUUGUGGGUUUUAUGUGUUUUUCAUUUAUGUAUGGUUGCUCUAUGAUUAGUUCUGGAAGGACAUAAUAGGAGUAUCAAUUCAACCUCACAUCCCAGCAGUCCUUAGAGCCAAAAGAUGGUGUAAGGAGCGAAGUUCCUUUGCAUUAGGAAAAACGUGGCAACAAUGUGGAGAAUGGAGUGCAAGUGAGCAGGAAAACUGAAUGGAUAAGAUCAAACACUCCAGGACCAGAUUCUGCAAAUGUUGUUGCACACUAAAUUACGCGUGCUGCUUGUCAAAUUAUUUUUGUAGCAUAUAUGCCACAACACCUAUUGCCCCCUUCACGUUAGAGUUUUACUACUUGAUACGGAUUAUAGGGAAAUGAGAAGGAAUAUGUUGAUUGUUAGAAUAAGAAUUGUUCUGAUCAAUAUUCUUAGUUUUGAUGAUAACAAUGUAUAUGAAUUUUGUAUAAGAUAAUGUGGUACUCUAAUCCUAUGCAAUUUCCAUUUCAGGAAAUAUAUAAAGAGUAUGCACAAAAUCAACGCAAGAAGCACUGACUCAGAAGGUUCAGCAUGCAACAUCAGAACAUGCUCUGGCAAGACAUCAGAAGAUGGUCAAGCAGAAUCAGAACAUGGUCUAUUGAAGCAUCAGAAGAACUUGAGAUCAGAAGCAGAAGCACUGAAGUUCUCAUGGUAUCACGCUAGAAGCACUUCAAGAUCAGAAGACAAGAAGAUGCUCUGCACCAAGCUGCUAUGACUCUGAUAUAUUCAAACGUUGUAUCUACAAAGGUCAGAUCAGAAGCAAGUACAAGAUGGCAGGCUACGCUGACUGACAAAAGGAACGUUAGAAGCUAUUAAAGGCAAAGUCAGUUAAAGCAGGAAAAGCAAGGCUCGAGGUAGUUGACAAAAGAGUGAAACAUUGAAUGCAAUGCUGUACGGAUCACGCAACGCAUUAAAUGCUCCCAACGGUCAUCUUCUCAAACGCCUAUAUAUAGAAGUUCUGAUGAGAAGCUGAAAACAACACUUUGCGCUAACAUACAGAAACGCUGUCAAAUUCAAAAGCUCUCAAACUUCAUCUUCAACCUCACUUCAUUACUGUUGUAAUAUCUUAGUGAGAUUAAGCUUAAACUUUAAGAGAAAUAUCACAGUUGUGAUUAUAGCUUUUAAGAAGCAUUGUAUAACUCUUGUAAGAAUUUGUUUACAUUCAUUUGUAAAGAUCUAGAGGAGAUCAAGUUGUGAUCGGAUUCUCUAGAAAGUCUUAGAGGGUAUCUAAGCAGUGUGUUCCUAGAGUGAUCAGGUUGUGAUCAGAAUACUCUAGAAGACUUAGAGGGUAUCUAAGUGGAAAACCAUUGUAAUCAAGAUUGAUUAGUGGAUUAAAUCCUCAGGUGAGGUAAAUCACUCUAAGGGGGUGGACUGGAGUAGUUUCGUUAACAACGAACCAGGAUAAAAGUAUUGUGUUCAUUGUUUUUA